rnacentral:pre_miRNA from 1 species
GGCGCAGGGCAGCCACUGCCCACCGCACACUGCGCUGCUCCGGACCCACUGUGCGUGUGACAGCGGCUGAUCUGCUCCUG